UGCGGGCGCUCGGCAUGCGGAGCGUGCAAGUGGAAACGCUUUACUCGUUGUUUUCUCAAUUAAAUCAGAAAAGUUUUGUUAGUGGUAGCUAGUUAAGGAGAAGUGGGAACUGGUAUCUUCUUUCUUUUGAAAUGUUCCUGCUGUAAACCUCAGCUUUCGGGGUUGGGCGCGGGGCAUUCCCGGGGGUGAGCGCCCGGCCUGGCGCCUGCGAGCCUUUGGGCACCGGCCGUGAGCCUCUUUGGAGCUACAUCCCAAAUGCUGUCACGGUCAUCAAUCGCUGCUUGCCAGCAGAGCAACUGAAGUCUGUGGACAGACUCUUUUCUCUUCCUUGCCAGAGGCCAAGCGCCCAAAUGCGGUCUCUCAACACAACAAACUUCAUUACAAGGCUUUCUGCUUUAUGUCUGAGGAAAAACAAGAUGCAAUGCAGGCACCAAAGUAAUAGACGACCAACGGUUCCACUUGGAUCACGGAUUUUAACUGAUCCUUCUAAGGUCUUUGAGCAUAACAUGUGGGACCACAUGCAAUGGUCACAAGAAGAAGAGGAGAAUGCCAAGAAAAAAGCAGCAGAGAACUCUCUUGUGAAAGUUCAAUCGGACGACCAAGAUAAAUAUGAGAGAGAAGCCAGUAAAUAUUGGAAUGAAUUUUACAAGACACAUAAAAAUAACUUUUUCAAGGAUCGCAAUUGGCUGUUUCUGGAGUUUCCAGAAAUUCUUCCAGAAAAAAGGAGACAAGAGUUCAAAACAGAAAAGAUAUCUUUGGAACACACAAAAAUAAAUAAUGACAACAGCUUUUCACUCAAAAAUGGAAUGUUUGAAGAAGGAGAAAAAUACUGGGAGAAAAAUUAUGGAUCUGGUUCUAUUGCUGUACAAGGAUAUGUAUAUAAUAAAAAUGAAGUAAAAGCUCUUACUAACAAUCCUCAAGGUAAAAACUGCGGAGAAGAACUUGGCAAGGUAGAAUCCUUCCCUGGCUGUGAUGCCACUUACCGAAUAUUAGAGGUUGGUUGUGGAGCUGGAAACAGUGUCUUUCCUAUUCUGAAAGUUCUAUGCAAUACACCUGGAACCUUUCUGUACUGUUGUGAUUUUGCUUCAGGAGCAGUGGAGCUGGUAAAGUCACAUUCGUCCUAUAAUUCAGCCUGGUGUUCUGCCUUUGUUCAUGAUGUGUGUGAUGAUGCUUUACCCUAUCCUUUUCCAGAUGAGAUCCUGGAUGUCAUUCUCCUUGUCUUUGUGCUCUCUACUAUUCAUCCUGACAGGAUGCAAGGGGUUGUAAAUAGGUUGGCUAAGCUACUGAAGCCUGGAGGAAUGCUGUUAUUUCGAGACUACGGGAGAUACGACACAGCUCAACUUCGUUUUAAAGAAGUAUAUGUAUACUUCUCUCCAUGUUUGGAACAAGGAUUGGACAUGAGGGUUUUUUUACAUCAGUUAUGUGCCAGUUCCCUUUCUCUUAAGAAUCAUCCAGAAUUUGGAUAAGGGAACAAUGUUUUUGCCUUUUUUUCAAAUAGAAUCCUAUAGUGACAGAAGCUACAUUCCUAUCCUCCUGGGAAGCAAAUACCAGAGAAUAACAGAAGUGUCUGUAUCCUGAUUGUGUGCAAUCAAGGCACUCCAAGAAUGAGACUUAAGAGACAUACCAAAGCUCAGAAAUAAAACAUAGGUCAUCUAGACCAAUGGAUCUUUCUGCAGUAAGAGCAAAGCUUGACCAUGACGUUGUUUUCUUUGGAAAGAGUUCAGCUCUGUUUCAGAAACUGCAGAUAAGGAAUGUAAGUAUCCAUAUUUGUGUGUGUGUGUGUAAACCAAAAUAAAAAUUUCAAAACAAAGCAAGUUGACUUGCUUCUUCCCAGCUCCAUGUAGAAUCAUAGAACUACAUAGAUAGCAGUUGUGUUGCUUUGUGCAUGCCUAAGGUGUGGUCAGGAAUCAAUAUAGAAAUACAUUUAAAAUAUAAUGGAAAAAAGAAAAUAACAUGGAUAAAUGUCUUGUUGCUAUUUUGUUUGCCUCUAAAUGUUUUUGUAAAUAAAUGAGUAUGUGCAAUUUGCCAUGGAAUAUCCUUUAUACUAAAAACUCAAUUUGGAACAAGUUUUACAUCGUACUCUAUAACUUCUUUGGAUUUUUAAAAACUUUUUAAUAACUUGGCAUAUGAAUUUAUGAGUGUACUGUCGUACUGUCAUCAAAAAGAAGAUCAAAAUAGUGACUAGAAUAAGUGAAAAGGAGAUAGAACUGGCACAAAAUCUGUACGGAACAAAGAAGUUACCUUUAUUAUUCAAAGUACAACUCCCGUUGGGAACUUGUCUAGGUAUCAUAUAAAUCAUGAUGGAAUAGGUCCUCUAAUGAAGGACCAUUAUGAUGGGAAGCAGGUAGUCUCCAUUUGAAAUAAAAAGCUGGGCACAAUUAUACCGGUUGUUAACGUGCAAGGAGCUAAAAGAACCCUGUGUGUUAUUAGGCACUUGCCCUUACUACCUGAAGUGGAAUUGUCUGAUUGGAAAGUUGGGUGGGACUUCCUGUGGGAAAAAAAUGCAAAUUGUGUACAAAGUUAUCUGUAUGAAUCUUAUGACUGAUUUUAGUGGUUUAAGGUUAAGUUAUCUUGGCAAUGAAAGAAUUAUUUUGGCUGUUCCUGAGGACUGUAAACUUUAUUAAGCACAUGCAUGACAAGUAAUCUGAUAGCAAACAAUGUCUUUUUUGCCUCCCUAGUCCCUUAAACGUUGGCUGAAUACUUUCAUCUGAGAUAGGCAUUGCUUUCACUGUUGUUUUUAUGACAGAUGAAUAUGAAUGGUGAUUCUACCUUUGGAAGGCAGAAGAUGAGAUGCAUUGUCUUUUAGUGGUCAAGUCUGAUAGGUAUCCUCUAUAUUGAGUCUUAUAAAAGAUUUUUCAAAGUGAAAAUAAGUUUUCCCGAGAGAGAAAGAUAAGAAAUAAAGGAUUAGUAACUCCUACUGUGAAAUUCUAGCCCUAUUUCUAAUGCUAGGUUAAUAGUUGGUAUUUCUGAUCCUAAAGGCCUAUGAUUCUAAUGAAAGAUUUGCUCCUGACUUCAGGAUGAUCACAGUUUUACUCCUAUGGAGAAGUUGGGCUUUCCUAGGAAAGGUAAUGUAUAAAAUACAACCUCUGCUAGCACAUAAUGAAUGCAACAUGAUGGGAAGAGGCUAACAUGGAAUGACAUCCAUAACCAAUAAUAGAUGCUGUGAGCAUCCUGUCAAUUGGUGUACUAAUGUUAGUCACCAGCUUGAUUAAUGACAUGGAAACACUCACUCUUUCUCUGAAUAGUGUCUGAGUGCCUCCUGCCAGAGCAGUGGAGAUCACCUUCUGCUGAGCUUAUGUAUAUAUGCAGGAAUAGAGCCAUUAUGGGUGCUUCAGUGCAUUGUGUAAUAGCCUCUUCCAAAUGAAGGGGACUCAGAGACAUCAUUCAGUUUGUACCUGCCUGUGUUUGUUUGUACGUGUAAAAUCGGCUGACUCUCAGACCAAGGGCUGCCUUGUAGCUUUAAGCUCAGCAGUGGCUGUAGUCUGUGUUAGGGACUUUUUCUGUCACUAUAAAAGAGAAAACAAGACUCAUACUAAAGAUGGCCCCAGAAUUUCUUUUGCAAUGAUCCUCCCUGAGAAACUUGAAGUUUCUUGAUCACAAAUGGGAAAACACUUGAAGAAAUGUGUGUAUGUGGUAGAGAACUUGAGAAAACAAGAAAGGGAUUUCAUUGAAUAAUUUCCAAAAAGUAAAAAAAGAAUUAUUUAUAUCAAACCAGAGGGAAACAGAACAGUGGUGUGAGAAUCCUUUUACUGUCUGAAAGAACUGGAAAUUUUACUCAAGACUGGGCAAAGUUCUGUAUUGUGGUAUUAGAUGCUAUCCUGAGAUACUCAGCUUGGCACAGUGAGACCACUUCAUUGCCUCAUUUCAUGCUAGUGUGUUUCAGGCUGUGUGCUAAAUAUGUCCAGAACCUGGCUUUUUAUUCUAAGUGCAAUAGAUGACAUUAUUCUAUUUUGACAGGGAAUAUCUUUAGCAGUAUGCCCUGAAAUACCUUAGGGAUUCAAGCUGUCCCGUAAUCAAUGCUGCAGACGAUGCAGUUUUGAUUAUUUUUCUCUAAUAUAUGAACUGUAACACUAGAUUCAUCCUGGCAUACAUCUGUCAGACCAGACUGAAAGCAUUCAGUUAAAGCCACUUCAUUACCAGCACAGGGCCAACAAAUAGGGGACAAUCCAAAAAAGGGGGAUUGAAAUAUAGCAUAGAUGAGAAAUAUAUCUCAAAAUAAGGUCAUAAUGGAGGAUAUAAAUUGCACAGCAAUCCAGACAGCAACAGGACAUCCUCAAAAUUACUACAGCAUCUGCAUACUGAUACCGCCUUUAACAGAUAUGCAAAAAAUAUGGAUUGUUUGUGAAAUAAACAGCUAUAGGUCAAGAUGUAACAUAACAGAAAAAACAACUUUGCAAAUAUAAAUAUUUAUUAUUAGUGGAUAUGAAUUGCUUCCUACUAAAAUGGGCAAGAAUUAUGAACCCAACCCUCUUUAAAACUAAUUGGGGAAUUAGAAGGCUAAUGAGAGAAUGUAGUAAAAAAACCUCUUUUGCCUUCUAGAAAAAACAGCAAUGCUAGACCAUAAUGAAGAAUACUCUAGUGUAUUGAGAGCUACUGGGCUGCAAAUCCACCACAAAAAAUCUUCAGUGUUUGAUACUGAACCAAGAAAAGAAAAACACAAAAUGAAAAUUCUGCAUUGCCUGAAGGACAUGCAGAAUUCUUUCCCAUCUCUAUUUGUUGUGAUUGUUAAUACUCGUGUGAAACACUGCUGGACUGCCAUAGAGCAAAUUAUCAGCAAGAGAUGAAUGUGUCUCGUUUGAUGUUUGAGCUUAUUUGAUAAGAUGCAGGUAAGAGUUAAUGUCAUCUCUACAUAUUGUGCCAUGUUUAACAUCUGCUAUUCCUUUCUGGGUUUGCUUGCUGUUUCAGUCCUUAACUUAUGACCUUUUCUUUUUUUUUAAUUUAGCCAUUGAUUACACCCCAGGAUGUGUGAUUCAUUUGAACUGCAAAAUCCCUAUUUCUUGUGGUACUAAUAAGCAUUGUGCCUAGUGAAAGCUGUAGCAGAAGAGAAAGGGAGGAGGCCUAACAGGCUUGACACUGUCUUUUGUCUGCGCUGCAGCAAGGGGAGAAGGAAAGAUGUAUAGGAAUUGUCUUAUCAUCGUGCACAUAUAUACAUGUACAUAAGUAUUUUUAUUUGUUUAUCUAAUCUCUUGGAUGCUUUUUCAAUGCCUGUCUUAACCCUUUGUUGUUGAAGUGAGCAAGGCAAAACUAUAUGACAGGCAUUUAAUUUUUUUCUUUCUCGAGAACAACUAGUGUCCCUUGUGCUGAGAAGAAAAUGGGACUAUGUGGAAAGCUAAAUUUCAAUUAAUACGUCAAAGGGCAGUUUGUGAUGUUUUGCCUAUAACUAGGGUUUAACUGAGUUGCAGAACUCUGGGAAUUUUGUGUUUUCCUGUAGGCUCACUUACAGCAUUCUUACCUCUCCUACUUUUCUGCUCUUCCUCUGCUUCUCUGAAAGGGACAGAUGAAAGCAGUAUAAUCUUGUUGAAUAUGGUUCUUGCUGAUGAAUUAGAUGAACAGCUGCGGGGAACAGUCUAGGAAUACAAUUUGGUGAAAAAAAGAGAUGAGAUACAAAAAAAUUCCCUUAUGAUGCCAUUCAUUCUACAUGCAGUAUUAUACCACAUUGAUGGAAAAAUGGGAAGGCCUAAAACUCAAUUUCACUUCGAGCUGGUUUAAAAAGAAGCAAUUCUACAUACAUUGCAGCCACAAAAACAUAUAUUUAUAAGACUUUUACUUUGUAGGUAGCAACUGCACAGCUGUAUACAUUUGAUUUUUUGCAUGCAUAAGAACUUACUUUUACAGGCAAACUAUUGUACUUUCUUCUCAGUAUUACCCAAACAGCUAUGCUAAUUCUUACAUUAUGUAGUUCAUCUCUUUUCUUUGUGCUUUAACCAGUUUGGAAAGGGGGAGAAAAUCCUACACUUUAGCAUGCAGGACAAUCAAAAAUCCGAUCCAGAAAAUGGAUGUCAUUGGUGUGUCAGUGUUCCUGCAAUAUCCUCCAGCUCACAUUUUUACAUUGUAAAAACCCAGCAUGCAAUUGUGUGUUAAGAUUGGAAAUUAAAGCUAAUCUCCCCAGUUGCCUUAUGAAUGUUAUACACCAAAUGAAGCAAUAGCAUUUUGCUUUCUUGUCUUGCUAGUUUAGUGAAUUCUUUCACAGUUCUUUUUCACCUAGCAGAGUCUGGGAAAUACACAGAGAAUUAAAUGCACCUGUCUGCAGAAAUGGGAAAGAAUUCCAUUAAUCUUGGAUCAAUUACCAUUUAGUGUAGUUCUAAUAAUUCACAUAUUUUGGAAAGGUUGAUGGGGAUUUGGUAAUAUUAGAACCUGCUAAAGCCUUUGACCACACAUCCCAUAUUUUGAACCAGGUAUCUCUGGUUUACUGACUUGUUUCCUUUUAUCCCACUGCAGGCCAGUAGUAGGAGUUGGAUUCUUUUCUUGAUUGGAAGUUGUUUGCAGGCUUCUUGAAGGUUUGGAACAAAAAUCAUUAUAGCAGAGGUGGAUCACUGGAUCUGAUUAAUGGUGAUGAUAUUAAAGGUAUAAUAAAUGCAAUUUAUGACAAUUAUAUAAAUGAUAAAAAUAGAUCUGUGUUUACACAGUGUUUGUGUCUAGUUCUUAAAUGUAGGCCUAAUGUGAUAACAUUGUUUUCCUUCUAGCUUCUCUUCAUCUUGAUAAGCUGGUAGGGAAGGUAUAUUUUCUAGUAUAUUAUUUAUGCAUGUUUUUGUUACCUUGCAACUCAGUUGUCAGCAAGUGCCAUAUUAAAAAAAUUGUGAAGCAUGUAGUGCACUAUAUGGCUUAAGAAUACAGCUCUAAUUCAGUGAGCCUCAGAAUUGAUUUGAGUUCAAAAUAACUUUUUCCUGUAAAAGUGUUACUGCACUAAACCAAUUUUAGAAAACUUUAACUAAACUCUAAAAUAAAUGUUAGUACAAUUGCAAAAUUCCUAUUUGCUUAUAAAUAGAAAUGCUUUGUGAGAAACAGGUGCAGAAGAUGCUCCAAUCUGAGAUGGUAUUCUGAGUGUGUCAAAACUGCAUUCUGAAUCUUCUGACCUACAGAACACAGACUGGAAGAUUCUAGUCAUUAUCCCAACCCAGAGUGGCCAGGAGCAUGUUGGUCUGAUCCAGGGAGGGUCCAUACAUGUGCUCAGCUGUGUUAGGAGAUGGAAGGACAAACUUCCAGCACUCACCAGGACAGAAGACAUUUUUUCUCUGUUAUGUUUUUGUAGCAUAUUGUAUUACAUCUAACCUAGAAAUGUCAGAAAUACAUAAUUUUGAUGAUGAAAUGAUUUCAGCAUUUUAUACACGAGAUACUCUACCAGUAUGUCCAUGUAGUUCAAGAAUAUUUUUCUACUAUGCUAGUUAAAUCAGAUUGGCUGCUGGUGUUGGCAUAGUUAUAGAAUAUGUGUAGGUCUUUCUAUAUAUGGGGUAGGUGUGCAUGUGUGUACAUAUUUUUAUGUAUAAAAUUCAUAAAUACUGGCAAAUAUACAGUGAGGCAUACUGUAAAACCUUAUGCUUUAAGAAAAUACUGCUAUGGGUCUAUUAUCUAGUGCUAGGCUGAAAAGGAACUAACAAAGAAUUUGAAACCUCCAUUUCACUGGCCUUACAAAUAAUUGAGGGGAUAAAUCAAAGGAUUCUAAGUCUUGGUUGCUCUACAGUCUUGUGCCAAGUCCAAGGAGAUGGAAGAAGCUACAUGUAAAAUAGAUGCCAAAAACAUCAGAGGUAAAGAUCCUAAUGAUUUCUGACUCCUGCAUUUCCCUGAUUUGUAGCUGACAGAGACUGAUUUAAGUUUGGAAGCCUAUGGUUCAGCAUAUAGUUUACUACUUUUCAGGGAUAUUGUAAUUUCUUGUAACACUUCACUUUCUUUCCUAAAAGAACCAGCCUGCUUAAUCAAUUUCCUCUUCUACCUCUACUUCUUCCAAUAAUCUCUUGAAUUGGAGGCCUUCCUUCUAAUUACUGACAUAAUUUAAAAAUGGUCUUAUUUGGAACCUCUCUGUAAACAUCCACUAUUUAUAUAAUCAGUUACCUGGCGUGGUCAGUCGCUACGCCUUGGUGUUGCAGUAUCUGCUGUUUGCAUGAAACCUAAGCCAGCUAAUAGCACUUUGGUGGGAAAAACAGAAGUAAAUAUAUGCAGUUAUUAACAAUAUGCAAUAUUUGAUGUUAUUAGAUACACAUCUUUCAUGAGGACACCAAAAUGUAUUUAGUGCCUAUGAACAAUGAAGGUGAAGAUCUCAGAACAGGGAAGGAACUGCCAUAUCUCUGUAACUUGUCCCACAGUCAUAGCAUAGUAUUCCUUAAGAACAUGUGGGAUAAACUCUGGAUUUUGUGUAAUGUUUGAAAUUAUGUCUCUUUGUUCUCUAAAGGAUGUAUGUGGAAAUUUUGUAAUUGACAUUUGACCUGAGCACACAGUAAUCUUUAUAGAUGCAAGGUAGAGGUCUCCAAAAAUUGUCACUAUUCAGACCAUUAAUUUUUUUCUUUAAACAUCUUCCUUUGCUAUUUGCCAGUUAACUUCUCUUACUUUCUAGAGAUUGUGAAAUUACUGUGAUUAAAGUUUCUUGCAUUGGUAAUUCGUGACAAAAUUGAAAGCUCUUACAAUUUUAAUGCUUUUCAGGAUUUUGUUGCUGACCUUUUUUUUAUCUUUGGAAUAAGAAAAAUUCCUUGUGCUUUUCUGUUUUUCAACUGUCCUCAAUUAAACACUUACUACUGCCAUAAACAUUGCUAACUUUCAUUUGACACAUUCUUAUGAGAAAAACAGCACACACGCUUUUCACUCCUUUCUGUUCUGAUCUGAGUUUUGAGGUCUUCUUCCUUAGGAAUUAGCAAAACUAAAUGAGUUUUCUGGGACUUCACCUGGAGUCAAGUUUUCCCUUAUAAGGUGUGUGGCACCUUAUUCAUUGUUAUCCAGAGCAAUCCCACUGAAAGUUGAUUCCCUCUAUCUACUACCUCAAGUUAUGCCUGAUGUUAAUGGUCUGCAGUGUUCACAUAAACCUUGAUAGCAGACUAUUCUGUUCCUAAAAACUAGAAGGCAAAGAGAAAUAUUUAAUAUUUAUUGUAUUUAAAAAAAAUAAUUAGUAAUACUUAGUACUAUUUGAGUUGGAUUUAGUAUUUAAUAUUUUGGGCAGGUUAUGCUGACUGACUGUUCACCACUGUGAGAAAAAGGCCAUUUCUCUGGCCACUGGAUUAUAAAGUUUUAUGCAGAAUAAACACAGGGCAUUCAAGGAAAAGCAUUAUGUACAUUUACAAUGCUAUUUGUUAAGGGAAGUCUUUUGAAAUUUGAAAUUUCUGAAAGGUACUAAGGAAGGUUUCCCUCCUGCCAUGAUACUAUUAAAUUCAUAACACUGAAGCAAUGGGGCUUUACAAAUAAAGGGGUAUUUUAAAAAACGUGUCAGCUCUAACUCAGUAAGAAAGUAGGUUUUCUGUAAACUAAAGAGAGGAAUAUACAUAUACCCAGCUCCAUGUAUUCUUGAAGUUAUGUAUGUUGUUUCAUCUGGAGAUGAUCUAUAUAAUUCACACUCUGCUUUCAAUCUCUACAUCAACAAUUCAUGAAACCAAGAGAUACAGCUCUACUAUGUUACAAAUGCAGACUCAAGCCAUACUUUGCAGCAGGUACUGUGCUCUGCUGGGAAGUCCUGUAGUGCAUGCCCACUUACUCCUGGCCUCUCGAUGAGGUGUUGUCUAACACAUUAUGAGAUGGAAAAGAUCUGAUUAUUUUUGAUAGCAUUAAUAUUUGAAAAUAUAAAAGACACUUCAGCAUUUUUAUAAUAUUUAAUCUGCAUGUCUGAUAGAGGAAAUAAUGAAUGGGAUCUUCUGCAUGAUGUCCUGUUACCCUAAUCAAGGUAAAUAAUGCUUUAUUUAAACAAGAAGUCUUAACUGUGUCAGUGGAAUGAUUUAUAGGCAACAGUUUGUAAGCAAAACUGGAAGAAAGAAUGCUUGCUUAUGCAUGGUUUUGUAAGGAUAGCAGGGGUUUGUAUGAAGUGGAUGCAAAGGGCUAUAAACAAAGAGACAAUUUCUUAAUUUCUUUCACUUACUGCUUUUUACUUUGCAGAUUUUGAAAGCAGCAUGCUGCAGCAGGAUAUAUUCAUCAGGAAACAAGGUGCAUGUUCAGUUAUGCUAUCAUGGAUUGUGGGAUUAUGUACCUAGCAAGAAUAUUCUAUACCAGCUGCUAAGUAUUAAUACUGCAGUCAGAGUGAACUAGCACUGUUUUACUUCAUUCCCAAGUAUUGGAAAUUUCCUGAUGUAAUUUGCUUAUGUAAAGUCUGAGAAGUCUUUAGGAUCAAGUCCUUAUUAAAAGCAAGUCCUUGUUGAAAUAUCAGAUCACCUCUCUUUAAAAAAUAUAUAUAUAUAACUAGAUAUAUGCCCUGGAACAGACUUGUUUAGCAAGUAAACAUACUAAUUUUUACUUUAAGUUAAUACCAAACUGCAAGGAAACUUCCAGCUAUGCUGUAUACUUGUGGGAGGUGAAGAUCUUAGAUAAUUUCACAGAUGUCACUUUAAAAGGAAGAGACAGAAUUAGUAAUAUGUGUGUUGUGCAGAGAACUGCAAUCCAGCAUUAGUAAUCUAUUCCUGUCAUUCUCAAAUAGAAGGGAAAGUAGGUUAGUAGAUGGACAGGAUGUCUCCACACAGCAACCACAAAAUAAGUGCCAUGCCUGAAUGAUGGAGAUAUUCUUCAUAUGCAUAAAAUGCAAUAUAUCCGCAACCCGUUGAUUUUUUGUAAGUAAUCAAAGUCAUUGUUAUCCCUGAUAUAUAUAAAAAUAUAUAUAAAAUAUAUUUACCAGUUGCAUUGGUAAAUUAAAA